AGAAGAAACACACUCUGGUGUGUCCAGACUUCUCAAAGUCCGGCUCCUGUCCUCGAGGAAGCCGCUGUAAGCUGCAGCACCGUCAACGCGCCAAACAAAGCACCAGCAACGCCAACGCCACACCGACGAGGAGAAGUCGAACCAAGGAUCCCACCAAGAGGCCUCGUCUGUCUGUUGUCAUUCCCCACACUCUGCAGGCAGCUCCACGGACGCCCACCACAGGUCCUCUGGCUCUGCCGUCCUUCAUCUCCCUCUCCAGCUCCCCAGAGGAGCCGGACGUCCCGGACACACAGCCAGCCGAGACCUCACAGGUUAAAGAGAAAAAGCUGCAGAUCAAACCUCGGCUGUGAGACGAAGACGACAGAGAUGUCUGAGCUCCAGGUUUGUCCUGAUGGUCUGUGUCUCUUCCCUCUGAACUAUUUUAACUCAGGGCCUCCGAGAUUUUAUCACUUCAGGUUUAACGUACUUCGGUUUGAAUGUUUACACAACACAGGAUUUCUCAUCAGGUUUUAUAAAUCAAAGAAAAAGACAAAUAAAGCAUCAACUCUUACCGUG